GGAAGAGAGAGAGUUCCUUCGUGGCUGAGGGUGUUCCGUCAAGGGUGCGAUGAAGCGCGUUUUGAAUAAAUGAGAGGGAGUCAUAGGUUUGGUCGGGCGCGUCGAUCUCGGGCAGUGACGUGGCGCGGUUACUUAAACCUAUGGAUAAUACAUGUUAUUUUUCUUAGUUCACAUCGCAUGCUUUGUUGUUCGCGGGCGUGUGAUUGGUGGAAUGAAAGACAUGCAGACACGUCGGAUAGGCGCGUGAAGGUUUCGAUGGCGUAUUGACUUUUAACAGUGUGAUGAGG
rnacentral:sRNA from 1 species